UUCCCUCAGAGUUCUGGAGGCUGGAAGUCUUGCAUCAGUAUCACUGGGCCACAGUCAAGGUGUUGGCAGGGCUGCACUCCCUCUAGGGGCUCUAGAGGGGGAUCUGGCCCCUGCCUCUUCUGCUUGAGGAGGCUGCUGGCCUUUUUAAUUUAUUUUAUUUAUUUUUUUAACUUUUUAGGGCAUAUGAAAGUUCCCAGGCAAGGAGUUGAAUCAGAGCAACAGCUGCCAGCCUACACCACAGCCACAGCAAUGCAGGAUCCAAGCCUCAUCUGCAACUUACUCCACAGCUCACAGCAAUGCCAGAUCCUUAACCCACUGAGCAAGGCCAGGGAUCGAACCAACAUCCUCAUGGAUACUAGUCAGGUGUGUUACCACUGAGCCACGAUGAGAACUCCUGCUGGCCUUUUUUUUUUUUUUUUUUUUUUUUUGUCUUUUUGCUAUUUCUUGGGCCGGAUCGUUACCCCACUGAGCAAGGUCAGGGAUCGAACCCACAACCUCAUGGUUCCUAGUCGGAUUCGUUAACCACUGCGCCACGACGGGAACUCCGUGCUGGCCUUUUUUAAGUUUGUGGUCUUCUCAGUCCAGUCUCUGCUUUCAUCCUCGCAUGUCUUCUCUUUACCGAAUCUCCUUCUACCUCUCUCUUAGGAUGACGUCUGUGAUUGCAUUUAGCACCAACCCAGAUAAUCCAGGACAAUCAACCCAUCUCAAGAUCUUCAACUUAAUCACAUGUGCAAAGACCCUUUUUCCUUAUAAGGUAACAUUCACAGAUUCCAGAAUCAGGACUCCAUCGUUCAGUGGCCAUCAUCGUGCCUACAGCAACCCCUGCAUUUGUGUUAAUUUCUUAGAGUGGCAGCUACUGCCGAACCCUGGUUAUCUUUGGAAGGGUGUUGUGGGCUGAACUGUGUGGCUUGAAUAUUCACAUGCUGAAGUCCUAACCCAGGAUCUUACAACGCAACUGUAUUUAGAGAUAGGAUAACUAAAGUGGUAAUAAAGGUUUAGUGAGGCCAUUAGGGUGGGCCCUAAUUCAAUAUGACUGGUGUCCUUAUAAGAAGAGGAAACUAGGACACGAGACGCACACAGAGGAAAGAUGAUGUGCAGACACAGGGGGAAGAUGGCUUAUUACCAACCAAGGAGAGAGACCUCAGAAGAGACCAACCCUGCCAACACCUUGAUCUUGGAGUCUAGCCUCCAGAAUUGGGAGAAAACAAAGUGCUAUUGUUUAAGUCACCCAGACUAUAAUGCAUGACAUCUCCAGUGAAUGAAUAUAAAACAUAAACAAAAACCUUUUUCUCCAGUUUCCUUGCAAUAACAGGUGACCAUGCCUAAGCCUUCCCACCAAAGGGAUAAAAAAAUGGAAGUUCCUUGGUGGGCCAUUUGCUAAAACUCUCUAAAAGAGGUCAGAAUUGGCUACCAUGUACCUUUUGCUCUUUGCACUUCCUUUUCUUCCUGCCUGGAAUAGGAAUAGGAAUCUGAUAGUAGAGUAACCAACUUGAGACCCUGAUGCAACAGCCAAGGAUGGCCAAGUGGAAAAACAGAAAACCGGGGAUCUGAUAGCAUCAUGGAGCCACUAUCCCAACCAGCAAACUCCAGAAUUCUUUUUAUUUAUUUUUUAUUUUUUUAUUUUUUUAUUUAGGACUGCAUCCAUGGCAUGUGGAAGUUCCCG
rnacentral:lncRNA from 9 species